rnacentral:rRNA from 1 species
CUAUUAUUCUAAAUGUUAACAUAAAGCCAGAGUAGUAAUAGAUAUGUGCUUGAAACUCAAAGAAUUUGGCGGUGUUUUAGUCCAAUCAGAGGAACCUGCCCCUUAAUCGAUAAUCCACGUUUUACUUUACUCGUUCUAGUAGUCAGCUUGUAUACCGCCGUCAUAAGAACGUUUCUAGAGAAGAUAUUCAAGAUUUUAUAGUAAAAAGUAUGUCAGGUCAAGGUGCAGUUUAUGAUCGAGUGGUGGUGGGUUACAUUGAUAUUAAUCAAACGGAUUUUAAUUUGAAAGAGUUAAAUGAAGGUGGAUUUGAGUGUAAUAAAAUAAAGAAUAUUUUUAUGAUAAAGGCUCUAAAACAUGCACAC